UACGGGGGGAGCAAGCGUUGUUCGGAUUUACUGGGCGUAAAGGGCGCGUAGGCGGCGUGACAAGUCACUUGUGAAAUCUCCGGGCUUAACCCGGAGCGGCCAAGUGAUACUGUCGUGCUAGAGUGCGGAAGGGGCUACUGGAAUUCUCGGUGUAGCGGUGAAAUGCGUAGAUAUCGAGAGGAACACCUGCGGCGAAGGCGGGUAGCUGGGCCGAUACUGACACUGAGGAGCGAAAGCGUGGGGAGCGAACAGG
rnacentral:rRNA from 1 species